UACAGAGGUCUCAAGCGUUGUUCGGAUUCAUUGGGCGUAAAGGGUGUGUAGGUGGCGCGCUAAGUCGGGUGUGAAAUUUCGGAGCUUAACUCCGAAGCUGCAUUCGAUACUGGCGUGCUUGAGGACUGGAGAGGAGACUGGAAUUCAUGGUGUAGCAGUGAAAUGCGUAGAGAUCAUGAGGAAGACCAGUGGCGAAGGCGGCUCUCUGGACAGUACCUGACACUGAGACACGAAGGCCAGGGGAGCAAACAGG
rnacentral:rRNA from 1 species